rnacentral:lncRNA from 1 species
CAUGCCAAGCAAGCUGGACUCUUUUCUCUCUCUCUCUCUCCCAGGCUUGUUCAUUUGCAGACUGAAGCAACAUAAUUCUUCUGUGUUUCUAUGACAGUAAACAUUAUCUUUAAAAAUGAGCAAGACAAGUUAAGACAAACUCCUCUUGGUUGCCAAAUAGAUUCUUCUCACAGUCAUAGGCAUAUUUUCUGUCAGCUCACAACUGCGAAUGUUUUUGCUGUGCUCAGCCCUGCGUAUGCUUUGAGGAUGGAUUUACAGAGCAACCUUUUAACAAGCAUGAGAUAGUGCCAGUUAUUUGACUCCUGCAGAGAGCGAUAAAAGUGCACUUGGAGCAUACUGGUAAAUCAUAUCCUGAAUUUUAAAUUAUCAGUGGACCAGAUGAAGGUAGCCUCUUCAGUAUGUGACACUGAUUUCCUGAGGCAACUUUGAUGUCCAGGUAGGAUGAAACACUUAAGGAUCAGGGUGAAUAGCAUGUAUAUGUAGAAGAAAGCCUGUUCUUUGGCUCUACCCUACAGCUCUGGCACUUCUUUUCAAAAGAAUUAAGGAAGAUAGUAAACCUGCUAAGCUACCAGGCACAUUUUGAGACUUACCAUUUUGAAAUAGUUUUCCCAUUAGGCACCCAUUUCCUUAUGUAUUCUGCUUCUUACUCUGCUCACUUUCAGAGCUCUAUAAUGUAGCAGAUAUUUCCUCCAAUGCACUUCUUACGCUCUUUUUUUUAUGCUGUUGCUCUAUGUUUUCUAGUAUCAACAAAGCUCUCUGUGAUGCUCUUCCCUGAAAAGGUUCUACUAGCACAGACAGUCUUUUCAUAUGUUACAGUGGCAUGAAACCUUUGAAAAUGUAGCCCUGAAAGGUUUUCAAAUACUUUCUACUGUAUUCCUGAGUCACUGGAACAACAUAACUGGCUUUUUAUGGCAUAAAUUAUAGAAGUGAUGGUGAAAACAGAUGAAUUUAUUAAAACAUAGUGAAUCACUGAUGACAUUUGAGUCUGAUUAAAACAUAGUGAAUCAUUGAUGACAUUUAAGUCUAAUUAAGUCGGGCUACUCAGCUUAAUGAUUUUCUUCCAGAGGAGGCAACUAUUUUGGAAUUCGUAAUGUUUAACACAGUUCUUUUGGAAUGGCGUAUUGUACCUAGGGGUGCUGUUAUCAGGGUCUAUAAUAGCAAAUGUUUUCAUUUAAAAGGCUGUGCCAAGUUAAAUCACAGUGAAAUUUAUCCCAGACAUUUGAUAAUGUUAUCCCAAAAUGUUCUUGUGGUAGAAUAAACAGUGCUGGGGAGAAGAGGGUAGGAUAGGC